rnacentral:rRNA from 1 species
UACGUAGGGUGCAAGCGUUGUCCGGAAUUAUUGGGCGUAAAGAGCUCGUAGGCGGUUUGUCGCGUCUGCUGUGAAAACCCGAGGCUCAACCUCGGGCCUGCAGUGGGUACGGGCAGACUAGAGUGUGGUAGGGGGACUGGAAUUCCCGGUGGUAGCGGAUGAAAUGCGCAGAUAUCGGGAAGAACACCCGUGGCUAAGGCGGCUCUCUAGUACGGUACUGACGCUGAGACGCGAAAGCGUGGGGAGCGAAACAGG